rnacentral:misc_RNA from 1 species
AAGGAUCAUUCAUAAUCAAGUGUUUUUAUGGCACUUUCAAAAAUCCAUAUCCACCUUGUGUGCAAUGUCAUCUCACUGGGGCCCACCGGCUGUCAAAAGCCGUCUGGUCUCCUUUGGGAUUUAUAUCUACUCAGAACUUUAGUGAUUUUGUCUGAAACAUAUUAUGAAUACUUAAUUCAAAAUACAGCUUUCAACAACGGAUCUCUUGGCUCUC